rnacentral:rRNA from 1 species
CCUACGGGAGGCUGCAGUGAGGAAUAUUGGUCAAUGGGCGCGAGCCUGAACCAGCCAAGUAGCGUGAAGGAUGACGGCCCUACGGGUUGUAAACUUCUUUUGUCAGGGAGCAAUUGGGUCCACGCGUGGGCUUAGCGAGAGUACCUGAAGAAAAAGCAUCGGCUAACUCCGUGUCAGCAGCCGCGGUAAUACGGAGGAUGCGAGCGUUAUCCGGAUUUAUUGGGUUUAAAGGGUGCGUAGGCGGAAUAUCAAGUCAGCGGUAAAAAUUCGGGGCUCAACCCCGUCGUGCCGUUGAAACUGAUGUUCUUUAGUGGGCGAGAAGGAUGCGGGAUGCGUGGGGUAGCGGGGAAAUGCAUAGAUAGC